UGCGGUGACAAAAAACAGCGUUUUUGAACUUUGGCGAUGCCAACGGCUCUCAGGGAUUGAAUAAAUCACGUUGAUGAUUUAUGAAUAAAA
rnacentral:ncRNA from 1 species